rnacentral:lncRNA from 1 species
AAAUUUCAUCGUUUAUUUAAAAUAAUUAAAGCAAGCUUCAAAAUAAUUUCAAUUGUCUUAGUAGCAUGGAAUAUAGAAUAUUUAAAUCGGACAGAACUGGUUCCAUCUCGCCUCAAGGGAUCGCAUUGCAUCAUCUAGUUCUCAUCAUCUGAAAUUUUCAUGAUAAAAUGGAAUGAGCUAAUUCCUAGUAAGCAAACAUUGUGCAUAUGAUGCAUGCUUAUGGUAUGCAUAUACAUUACUUAAAAUAAAUAGCUUUUCAUUUAUGUAUCCCAUUUCGUUUCUUUUCUUUAAAAAUAUUGACGUCGUGAGCUCACUUGGUAUAUCUCCUAGCCAAUCAGAAUGCGGUGGACAAUUAUUAUUUGGAACUUGAUCGAGUCCUACCGGUAGUACCGCAAAGCGGUUAACAUUAGCAUUAUCAUUGAUCAUUGAACAUUGGUCGGGUGCACCGGUCCCCCACGCCCCAUUUUCCACUCACACUUUUCAUGGCAUAGACAUAUACCUCGCAAUAAAACAUUUGGGAUGCAUAUCCUUAAAAACAUGCAUUGACUCGGUGACCUUUGGAAACUUGUAUUCCUUGAAAGUUUCAUGUAUGCUCGUGGAUGCAUUGACAUGUAUAAAUAUUUAAUGAGAAACAUUAAUAACACAAAACAUAAUAAUCAAAUAUCGUAUUAACAUAAGGACCGAUUUAGAUAACACAUUUAUACGUUUAACCAUAUCUCAUGUUUAAAAGCGGAGGGAGGUUGACUUACCUCGGAUCCUUACAAUUCACUUUUUAAAUAGCAAAGGGAGGUGUCCCUGAUCACCACACGGUCAACGUGCCAAAUAUCCUAGGUCGUUAUCAUUCAUUUUAAAAACAUUUAGACAAUAUUUAAUGUCCAUAAAUCAAACCAUAUCAUUAUUGUUAAAAUAAUUAUCGUCAUUAGAGCCUAGAGUGUAAGUAGAAAGUGUUCGUAAUUACAUUGAAAUUUAAAAGUGAGAUUUUUUGUUAAGGAGUACUAUCAACUUAAAUAGGUGCCGACGGGUUCACAUAAAAGAAAUUCCAUGUUAC